UGGACCAGUGAUGACAAUUGAUGGCGCCAGAGUCCUAGACGAUGAACACUGUGUGUCUGGAAGUCUGAGGUCCAA
ensembl:snoRNA